rnacentral:rRNA from 1 species
AUUGAACGCUGGCGGCAUGCCUUACACAUGCAAGUCGAACGGCAGCACGGGUGCUUGCACCUGGUGGCGAGUGGCGAACGGGUGAGUAAUAUAUCGGAACGUACCUUAUUGUGGGGGAUAACGCAGCGAAAGCUGUGCUAAUACCGCAUAAUCCCUAAGGGGGAAAGCGGGGGACCGUAAGGCCUCGCGCAACUAGAGCGGCCGAUACCUGAUUAGCUAGUUGGUGCGGUAAAGGCUCACCAAGGCAACGAUCAGUAGCUGGUCUGAGAGGACGAUCAGCCACACUGGGACUGAGACACGGCCCAGACUCCUACGGGAGGCAGCAGUGGGGAAUUUUGGACAAUGGGGGCAACCCUGAUCCAGCAAUGCCGCGUGAGUGAAGAAGGCCUUCGGGUUGUAAAGCUCUUUUGUCAGGGAAGAAACAGCAGCUCUAACACAGUAUGCGAAUGACGGUACCUGAAGAAUAAGCACCGGCUAACUACGUGCCAGCCGCCGCAGUAA